CAGUUGAAGGGAAGGGCUAAAUUCUGACCACAGAAGCAGUAGAGAGCCCUGCCUUCAGAGGAAAGGGGAAAGCCCCCGUUGGUCAGAAGGUCUGAUGUCCGCCCUCAGGAUAAACCCAGCGGAUAAGGGUGAGGAAUUUAAGAGAAGAAACAUUACCGCUGUCUCCUUGUCUCCCCGUGACAGCGCCCUGGGCCCCGGAACACUGGCAGCAUCCUGUCCACAGCUGGCUUGGAAAACGGCUCCGUGAAUCACUCUAAAAGGCUGGGCAGAUUCACUACAAGCCCUGCCCUGCUCCACUGUGGGGUUCAAAAAUGUGUCUCCCAUCCAGAGCACGAUGACUAACAACUUAGAUGUGUGAUGCUUAUGACAGGGGCUUGGUUUAUUGUGGCUAAUCUCUGAAUUGGGACAUGUAAAUAAAACCCAAUUGUACUAUGCCUAA